rnacentral:rRNA from 1 species
UAAUUCAUAGCGUAGAAGAAACCAACAGGGAUUGCCCCAGUAGCGGCGAGUGAAGCGGCAAGAGCUCAGAUUUGAAAUCGUGUUUCGGCACGAGUUGUAGAGUGUAGGCGGGAGUCUCUGUGGAGCGCGGUGUCCAAGUCCCUUGGAACAGGGUGCCUGAGAGGGUGAGAGCCCCGUAGGGUGCUGCGCGAAGCUUUUGAGGCCCUGCUGACGAGUCGAGUUGUUUGGGAAUGCAGCUCCAAGCGGGUGGUAAAUUCCAUCUAAGGCUAAAUAUUGGCGAGAGACCGAUAGCGAACAAGUACUGUGAAGGAAAGAUGAAAAGCACUUUGAAAAGAGAGUGAAACAGCACGUGAAAUUGUUGAAAGGGAAGGGUAUUGGGCUCGACAUGGGGGGUGCGCACCGCUGUCUCUUGUAGGCGGCGCUCUGGGCGCCCUCUGGGCCAGCAUCGGUUCCUGCUGCGGGAGAAGGGGCUCCGGAAAGUGGCUCUUCGGAGUGUUAUAGCCGGGGCCAGAUGCCGCGUGUGGGGACCGAGGACURCGGCUUCUGUCUCGGAUGCUGGCAUAACGGCGCAAUACCGCGUCUGAACACGACCAA